rnacentral:lncRNA from 1 species
CAGCAAAAGCCUCAGGAUCGUCUGCAAGCCCUAAGGGGUCAAAGCUCCCCCCAGGGUACAAAGGGUCUACAACUUCACCGAGAGGUCCUCCUGCAAUUCUGUAGCCUUCAACUGCACCCAUCAAGAUCACUUGUGUUGCCCAGAUUGCCAAAAUGCUCUGAGCAUGAACUAAGCAUGGGUUUCCCAAGUAGUCUAGUCCACCCUCACUGAAGAUUUGAGCUCCUGCCUUGAACCAAACAGCUUCUCCGAACUUGCUCCAUUACGAGCUAGGAAUUCAGGGAAGACACAUCCUAGAGCACCGAGCAUGGCCCAUCUUGAAUGGAUGACCUCGAGCUCACGGUUCUUGGCAAAUGUCUCGGGAUCGACUAAGAGCCCAGCUGUGUCCCAACCAUAGUCACCGGGAAACUCUCCGGUGAGAUAAGACGGGGCUUCAUUGGAGAAUGGGCCCAAGUACUUGACACGGUCAGGACUGCACCAUGGGCUGCCGGAUGACACAUUUUUGGACUUGGCUGCGGUUUUGCGCAUGGUGAUUCUGCCCUCACCGAGGAGGUUGGAUGUAGAAGAACCAAGCUGUGAGAAGGGGAGAGAGCCAUUGUUGAAGCAGCCAUAUGAGAAAAUGAAAGUGUUUACGAGUGUGUAGAGGGCCGAGUGAUUGUUAUGUUUUGCAUAGAGAAGCAUGGUGGGUAUUUGUAUAGGUUUGAUGCUAGAAAGUCGUUAUCUUUCUGCUAUCUUCAUCCCUUUUCUCACUGGUGAAAUGAAGUUCAAAGAGUUUCAAUCCUUUGAUCAAUUCCAGUUGGCAUGAUAGGCUCCAGUUAUUUAGUUCCACAAAGAUAGCAAUUGGAAAAUAGUUAUGCUUUGAUUUCUGACCAAGUAGAAUUAGCCCUACGAACAUGGCCGUCUUUUUGCAAUAAUGAUCAUAAUGACUCGAUUUCCAGUUGGUUUGAUAUGCACCACCAGCAUAACGUACGUAUAGAUACCAUAGAACAUCAAAGGAGAAAGAAUAAUGAAUUUUUCGACUAGAAAUGAGGAUGUUAAAACUAGACACAUGAUUACAAAAAUCUGAAAUAACAUUAAGAAUCUCUAUAAUUAAGGAUACAUUCAACUAAACAUAAAUUAGAAACAAAAUAUUACUCUAACGACGACUCAUUUGGCAUAUGUAAACCUUCAGACCAAUGUUCUAAAAAAUGCUAGGCGCUAGUCGGGCGGUAGAGGUGAAAUUUUGAAACCAAAAACCGAAAAAAAACCGAGCCGAAAACCAAACCGAAACUGGAAAAAACCAAACCUAAUUAAGAAAAACCGAACCGAACCAAAUUAGUUUGGUUUGGUUUUUGGUUUCGGCCCUUGAAAAACCGAACCGAACUGAAAAACUGAAUAUCCCUAAAACGACGUCGUUUUUUGUCUUUAUUUUCAUAUUAAAUAUUUGAUUUGAACAAUAUGAUUUUUAGGUUUUAUGUUCUAUAUAAUUAUCUGUUUGUCUUUUCUAAUAUUUUGCUUUUUAUUUUCAUUUUAUGUACAUAUAGAAAUGUUUUAGGUGUCGUGUAUGCAAAGUAUAGAGAGUGAUAUGUUACCUCUAAAAUCGAAGACCUUAUUAUUGCGAGCUUUAGAUGACAAAUUCUAAUAUUUAAUUUAUUUUUCUCUUCUUUAUUCAAAUUUAUGAUUUUUAAAAUUUAAAAUUCGGAAUUUAUUUGGAUGAACUUUAAACUAUGGAGUCUAUAUGUUGUGUUCAAGAUGAACUUACAAGUUUUAAAAUUAUGGUUUCAUGGUGUGCUAGUGUGGUCAAUUCUCAAUACUUUCGAAAUUAUUGAGUAUUAAACUUUCAAAGUAUCUAUUUGGUUUAUAAAUUGUUGGUUUGUUGAAGAAAUCAUUGUCAAAAAUUUUAUUGAUAUAUUAUAUAUGCUUAUAAAAAAAAACUAGUAAUGGAAGAAAAAAAAGACCUAAAAUACGAUAAUUUUUUACCAAGGCAAAAGCAUACAAAUUUUAAGAAAAAUUAUUUUAAAAAAGAAGAAAAACAAAAAAAAAACUGAACCAAACCACGGUUUGGUUUGGUUUCCGGUUCAAGGUCUCAAAAAAUACCAAACCAAACUGAAUUUUUUAUUCGGUUUGGUUUCAGGUUUUAUGUGAAAACCAAACUCACCCCUAUCGGGCGGACAGCCGGUGACUAGCGCUUAAACGGGUCAAUCGGGAGAUUAAUCAGUUUUCUAACUCUCUAGACGGAAACAGUGAAGCACCGCCUAACACGUAGGCGUGGAUUAAUCGGCUAUAAGCGGAGAUUUUUAAACCAUUGCUUGAGACAACAACUAGUCCUUAAAACUUGUAUGACGAAAUUGACUGUGGCUCAAAUUAUAAGGAGCUACAUUUAGAAUAUCUGCUGCUAUGGGGCAAGUAAGCAAAACAUGGGAAGUAUCUUCAUAAGGACAUGGGCAUGAUAUGCAUCAAGUAUCACCUGUAUAACCCUUUGUAGUAAGUGCACGUACCUCUCAUUGGCAGUCGGUUAAAGCAAGCUUUCCAGAAGCAAAUACGCACCUCCUCGGUACUUUUGUUUUCCACAAUCGUUUCUGCUAUAAGCCGUUUUUAUGGUCAUGUCUUUUUUUUUUUUUUUUUUUUUCUGUUUUAGGUAGAACAAAAUUUUCUUGCCUUGCUUUUUUUUUUCAAUAUGAUAUUUGUUUGCUCAAUACCAUUUUGGUCUAGUGACAUAAGUCUCUCCUUGUAAAUGAGAAGUCGUGAGUUCGACUCAUAGUAUUGUAGCAUAUUAUUGUGCGUUUGAUCCAAAAAUAAAAUAUGAUCUUUAUUUGGGAUCAUAGCGUUUUUUUGCUUUUUGCUUCAAUAUGCAUGUGGACAUUUUAUGUACUUAUAGGCUCAAUUAUGGUGUGAGCUGAAAUAUGUAGUAGGAGUGUUACCUGUACGUGGAUUAUUUGAUCUUAUUUACCCUCUUUACACAAGACAAUGCAUUGAUUCAUGAUGUAUCAUUUAUUUGAAUGGAUUGGAAUAUCUUCUUUAAUUCAAAAAUUAAUUAAAGAUCUCUUUCCUUAAGAUUGUGAGCAAACUUUUGCAUUUAUACAUAAUUAAUGGCCACUAUGAGCAAGUAAUAUUUAUUUUCAUUACCUAUUAAAGUUCAUUCAUCGCUAUAUAAGCAUGGAUGUAGCAAGAAAACUCCUAUAGUUUAUUCUAAGCCUGAGCCAGAGAUAAAAUGAUGAGAAAAGCAUUGUGGCAGCUCUACUGUUUUCUGCUUUUCCUUGUCCUAGCGCAUUGCAUUCUCCAUUGUGGCAGCCACCCUGUUUGGGGAAGAAAGUAUUUCGUCCGUAUUGUUAACAAUCUCGAAAACAACGAAGUGCUUAACUUUCAAUGUAAAUCCCUAGAUGAUGUAAUUGGUCCGCGUACUCUUCCUCCAUUUGGUGAAUUUGAAUUUAAAUUUCACUUCGGCCCUGAUACAGUGUUUGAAUGCUCUACGUGGUACUCAAAUCGCAUGGCUAAUUUUACAGCAUGGGAACCAAUUGUUCAACCUUUAUGAGGCGGGGCGCAUUUAAUUUAACUAUAUACUAAAGUAUGGUUUACUGUUCAUAAUCACUGUUCACAUCACAUGAAUAGUGCACUGUUUGGUGGGUGUGAUUCUGUUUAUGCCCUCUGUUUCUAAAAAACCACGAAAUUACCAUUAACCCUAGAUAUAUGAUUGUCUUCUAUAUAAUUAGUUGUUGUUGAGGAUGUUGUGGGUUGGGAAGUAAUUUUUGAACUCUUAUCUUCAUUACCGUGUCUCAAUUUUUUUUUUUUUCAUAGAUCUCACAAAGGGUAUUGUUAUCGAAGUCAAUCUAAAAUAGGGUAGUGGUAUCAUAGACCAAGGUUGAGCAAGUUUAUUUUCUUAAUUAUUGAGGUGAAACAAUUUUGGUUCUAUUUUAGCAACGGAAUAUUAAUUGAAGUACAAAUAUCUUUGAUUUGGCCAAAGAAAUUAUCUGGUUGCAAACCAACUCCUAAUUAACAAAACGUACUAAGUUAAUUUAAAUAUCGUGUGAUGAAGUACUAUGUUAUAUAUACUAAUGCAAUAUAUUUGGUUUUUGUUUUGUUUACUUUUAAUUUACUUGGUUUCUCAUCUUUGGUUUUAGUUUUGUUUACUUUCAAUUGAGUUGGUUCCUCAUUUUUUGUUUGGUUUUUAUGUCAAGUUCUCAUCUUUGACAUUUUGAGAUCAGUCUCUUUAGGAGCUUGAGAUAAAUAUUCUUUUCAGUUAAUUAAUCACUUGCUUUGUGUGUGUGUGUGUGUGUGUGUUUUGUUUUUUUUUUUUCUUUACUNUAGUAUNAUAUANCUUUAUUAGUUAGUUUUUAGUUUUUUUUUUUUUUUUUUUUCCUAUCUUUAGUUUCCUAUAAAUCAAGUUUUCUAAAAAUUGCGUUUUUGGUGAAAAACAGUUAAACAAAUAUGAGCAUUUUGUAUAGUCAAAACUAGAGCUAUAUUUUCGAUCAUACUGCUUCAGAUAAGUUGUUCUAUUUUGUGCACUUACAAGACAUUUACUAUUUUGGAUAGGUUACAACACUAGAUGUUUUGUAUUGAAGUUCUAUGAAGUACAUAUCAAAAACUUUUUCAUCAAUCAACUGAAUCAUUAACCAGUUUUAUAAAUAUACACCGCGCCAAGGCGCGGGUAUCAACUCUAGUUGUAUAUACAGUGUGUGAUCUGCUACUGUGUUCAGGUACAACAUAGCAACUCGACGAUAUGUAGGAGUCAUUAAUUUUUGGACUGUAGUACCAUGAAAAUGUUUGGGACAAAUGUAGUUUCAAACAAGAAAUAUUUAUAAGCUACAAGUAUGUUUUUUUAUUUUUUAUUUUUUUUAUAUAUGAAUAAAGGGCUGGUGCGGCUGUUUUCAAGCCUUCAUUAAUGAAACUGUCGAAUACAAGAGGGGCAUAUAUAAAGCCUAAACCCCUGAUUACAAAGACCCAAAAUAAUAUCGAGAAUCUCUAUAAAAUACAUGUAUUCUGAUAAACACCAACUAGCAAAUAGUACUACCCUAAAGACGAAUAUAUUUGCUUUGUCAUAUCGGUGACAUAAUGGAAAGAUCACUAGAUAUGUAACACGAUUACUUAUCCUAAUGUCUGAUAAAGAAUAGUACACAAGAAGUUAAUUAGCAAAGAAUAUUAGAAUACUUAUAUAUACACCAAGUUCUAAUACCAAACGUGAUCGAUCCAAUUUUUUUAUUUUUUUGAUGAAAGGGAUUGUAGUAAUCAAACUGGGCACAAAUUAUCUACCCAAACUACAGGAUUUGGAGCUGCAUAUGUUGUACUAGCCAAUCUGUGCGCCACUGUAUUGCAAGUUCUACUACCCAUGAGAGAGAGUCAUGGAUGUCACAAAGUAACCCUUCCAGCCCUACAUAGGUACCUUGCGUAUAGGAGAUAACCAAAAUUGCCUCUAGACAAUCUGUUUCUAUGAUAGCACAUACACAAUGUUUUCAAAAGUUUUAGUCCUUCUUUGAUAGCAUAUACCUCCGCCUUCUUUGCAGAGACUACUGGGGCAAUAGGAAUGACCAAAGCUGCCUUGAAUUUUCCUUGAUUAUCCCUGAGUAUCCCUCAAGUGCCUCCACGAAGAAAUGUUGGAAGAAAGCUACCAUCCACCAUGAGUUUGGUUUCCAUUUCUUGUGUUGUAGUUGGGGAGUCUGCCUUACUGGAGGUUGUAUUUGAACUUGUUGGUUUUCAUUGAACUAGGCCAUUGCCCAUGCUUGUACUUCUUGUGCUGUUUGAUGCUUUUCAUUCCAUAGUAUAUUGUUUCUGUUAGGCCAAAGAGACCACAAGCUGAUGAGAAGUUUGGCAAAGAGCUCCUUUGGCAUAUGUAAACCUUGAGACAACAACCAGUCCUUAAAACUUGUACGAGGAAAUUGAAUGUGGCUCAAAUUAUAAGGAGCUGCAUUUAGAAUAUCUGCUGCUAUGGGGUAAGUAAGCAAAACAUGGGAAGUAUCUUCAUAAGGACAUGGGCAUGAUAUGCAUCAAGUAUCACCUGUAUAACCUUUUUUAGUAAGUGCACGUACUUCUCAUUGGCAGUCGGUUAGAGCAAGCUUUCCAGAUGCAAAUACGCACCUCCCCGAGUCCCCGUAAUUUUUGCUUUCCACAAUUGUUUCUACUAUGGGUCCGUUUUUUUUUUUUUUUUUUUUUCUUAGUUUCAGGUAGAACAAAAUUUUCUUGCCUCUUCACAAAAACAUUUCUUGCCUUGUUCGUUUUUUUUUUUUUUUUUUUCAAUAUGAUCUUUGUUUGUGAUCAUAGCGUUUUUUUGCUUUUUGCUUUAAUAUGCCUCUGGAUAUUUUAUGUACUUAUAGGCUCAAUUGCGAUGUGAGCUGAAAUGUGUAGUGGGAGUGUUACCUGUACGUGAAUCAUACACAAGACAGUGCAUCGAUUCAUGAUGUAUCCUUUCUAUUAAGAAAAACAUAAGGGUCUUAUGACUUCUACUUAGUUGCUGAUUCAUAGAAUUAUUACCACUCUUAGGCUCAGUUUAGGAUUGCAUUUUUGGGUUAAAUCCUGCUUUUUCUCACCCAUUUAUGACUGAUAGCCUGUUUGGUAAGCAUUUCAUAUCUGCGUUCUUUUAACGAUUGCGGCCGGAAACCGCAAAAAUGAAAAGCAGCGGAGGACCUGCUUUUUCUUAUCCAGCGUUUUGUGAACGUGAAUCAAAUAGCCUGUACAUUCAUGAAAUUCCAGAAACAUCCCCACUGAAAUUCAAAAGUCAAACCCCUCGGAAUUAAUUCUCGUUCUCUUCUUCUGGGUUUCUUUCGUUUUUUGCCUUCUUUUGCAGCUCCUCAUCCCCUUGCCUUCGUACCUCUCUCUUCACAGCUAUUCACUUCUUCUUUGAUGGAUUACUGUAUCAUAUUAUUUUAUAUAUAGAUCUGUAAUUGAUCGUAAGGUGAUCGAGGUUUCCAUCGAAUCGCAUACACUUCGUAAUUUGAUGAGAAGAACAAAAGAUCCAUAUGAGUCAAAAGAUCUGUAUCUAUUUUUGAAAUUCUUUGUUUUUGAUAUCAUGUUUACCAAACAUUGUAGCAGUACUUAUUUUUACCUCAACACUUUCAAAUAUAUGAUUUACCAAACAUUAUACCGAGAUUUUUUACAACAGAUUAUUUUUACAACAGAGUUAUUUUAAAGUAGAGUUUAUAUACCUCAAUAUCAAACUAGGCUUUAUUGGUGGACAUAUAACCAAAAUGACGGUUUCUGAUGUCCUAGAAAUGAAAAACAAAAAUUUGAAAGAGUGGCAUUAUUUUUUGAGCAAUUUAAUGACAUCACACAUUAUAACCUAUACUAAAGACCUAUCUCUAAUGUACCGUUCAUUUUAUUUGUCCUUAUUCUCUCGAUAAAUUUUUCAGUAUUUCCGAAAGACCAUGUGGCAUUGCCUGGUUAUCCAAGCCUAUGAGACGUUGACACGUGACACUUUUUAGACAACUCGCAUCAAGGUUAAUUCAUUUAGUUUUCAACUGCAGUAAAACAAACCCCUCAACUAUCGCCGUUAAGUGAUAGUGUGAUAAAAAAAUGUAAAUCUCUGAAUUUUGUUCGUCCUCUCGCCGUCUGCCUUUCUCUUUGUGUUCUUUUCAGCAGAAGCACAAGGAAGCUUGUGGGUUCAGUUAAGCCUUGUCGUCGCCCAUAAGAUCCACUUUGUCCAACAAUUGGGAUUUUCAGUUCCCCGUAGCUAUUACCCGAUCUCCUCCACGCGUCCCCAGGUUUCUUCUCUUCUCUUCUCAUUUCCCAAUUGUUUUUCUUGCUCUUUGGGUCUUGCUAGUUUUUGUUAAUUUUGGUUAGAGAGUUGAAUGAUUGUGAUCAGACUCACUUUUCGGAGAAGAAAAGAAAAUUGAAAAUGGGAGAACUGAGUUCAAAGAAAGAGAAUUUGGGAAACGAAAUCCGCACAAACCGACGGAGGUGAGUAUUCGACGAUUUUGGUUAGUUAUAUGGAAUUGAUGAAACUUCGACGGCUCUCCCUUCUUGAAUAUGUUGUUUAUGGGAUUUGAUUUCUACACCAAAGUGAGGAAAAUUCUAUUAAGCUAUCAUAUAUUCAUAUUGGCUAUGAUUGAAUGGUACAUGACCAUAAUAGCUUGAAUUCCAGUAAAAGCUUUGUGGAUUUGGGAUUUGAAGUUUGAGGUUUUAUUUUUAUUUUUUGGAUUUGAAUUUUGCAGUUUUUGAAAUUUUACAUGUUAGUUGAUGUUGUUAUCCUUUUCAUGUUAAAGUCCAAUGUAUGAUUUAGCAGGUUAGAUGAGAUAUUGGAUUUGCUGAACCUUCAGGUAGUUAGAAAAUAUGCCAAUGUCUCCAAUGGAGGGGUGCCAUUUAAUUAGAAAGUAAACAUCCCACAUUGUUAUCAGCCCUAGACCACCAUUUUACACAUUUCAGACCAACAAUUUGAUUGCUUGUUUUCUCUGCUAUGUACUCAAAUCUAUUACAGCUACUGGGAUAGCUGCAUCACCAAAACUAGUUCUUUGUGUAUCACAGCUUAUGACUCUAAUUGUUUUACCAUCAAGGUCACACAGAAUACUUGAUUUUGGAUUAGUCAUUUACUUAUCCAUUUUGUCAAAUAUGGGUUCUGCUGAGAAAUGCCAGGAUGGCAAGUAAUUAAGCAACAAUUUUUGGAUGAUCCUUCUGAAACAACUAUAUACAUAGCUGGUUUGCAGGCUGCAUGGAAGCUUGGUGCUGCAUUCAAAUUGGUUAUCAUUUGAUUAUGACACUGCGUCUAGUAUCUGCUAAGUUUAUUGGUCUUUAGGUUCAAAAGUUUCGUUUUAUCGAAACUCUUAUGAGUUUUAUUUGGUUUGCAUAUAGUUCUCUUUUGAAGCUUGUAUUAUAUCUAAAUAUUUCUCAUGUUCUCUUUUUAGAUCUACCCCAAAUCCUGUUUUUUCUUUUUUUGAAUUCUGGGUGCACAGGCAGUGAGAUUGUAGUUGUCAGUGACAAACUAAGGAUAAAUUGGAAGAGCUUUAAGGUAUCUCAAUCAGUGAUUUCCUGAAUUACUUCAUUUGGAAGAGCCUUAAGAUAACUUGGUUAUUCUGAUUCCUAUAUGAUGUCUGAUAAUGUGUGGACAUGGGUGCAGGUUGAACCGUAACAGAUGAGGAUUGGCAUAGUUGAGUUUGAGGAUGAUGUGGUACUUGACAGUGAGGGUGACGAAGUUAAUGGAAGGUGACUCAUACAAGUAUGUCUCUGGACAAAAAGUGCACUGCAGGUUUGUAUAUUUGCUUCUUCUUUUUUUUGUUGUAUUUUGGUUAAUUUUUUGAUAGCAGUUGGCGUUGAACGUGUUGAUGAUAUGAAGUUUUUUUUCUUAAUGAAUGCUUGAGGAAGUAAUCUCUGCAAGACUUUGCAUUUACUAAUUUGAAUGACAAGUUUCUUGAAAUAAUUUUCAUACUACGGAGGAGUAAAGGCCGAAAUAUUUGUGCUGCUUGCAGAAUUUAGCUACAUCGACUCCCAUGAUCUUGGUUGGUCGCAUUACUGUAAGAGAAAGACAUUAGAUAAAUGGCUUUCAAACAUAUAUAUGAAGAUAGCUAGCAUCUAGGAUAAUAACAGGGUUUCAAAACUUUUCAAAUAUCGAUAAAAAACUGUGUGCUUGGUCAUAGUUAAGAUCAACUCAGUUAAAAUUGCAUAUGUGAAUGUGUAAAAUUCAAUCUUUGUGCAUAUACCAUAGGGACCAUUAGCACUCAAUAUUCAAUGAUAUAACUCAAAACAUGCAUCUCUCACAAGAAGUAAUGUUUUCAGCCAUUAACGUAAAACCUGAAGAGGAUAGAACUAUUAUGUUUCGAGUCACUUUCGUUUAACCAAAAACUAAUUAGGUCUCAUAGCUAGAAUACCAGCAUGAUGAAGAUGCCAAGGUGCAUUUGAGCAGCAGAGCAGUGAACUCCAGAUGCAAUGAACACCCAAAGUGAUAAUUGUAGAAAUAUAAUCCAUGUUACUUGAAGCAUUUUUCUCCUUAUGUGCAUAAACUAAAUGUCUAUUUAAAAGAGCUCUUACUUUGCUUUAUUGAAGGAUAUAGAUUGUGUCUCAUGUAUAUCGAUCUUUUUUUUUCUUCAUCACAUUGCUUAAUGAGCAUGCACCUUUGUUGUAUAGUCCAAUGGACUAAUUACAUUUUAUUUUUAGUUACAUUCAUGAAAUAUGUAGGAACCUCUAUGCAAUACUCUGAACAAGAAACAUGACAAGAAGUAUGUUCCAAUUUUAUAUGCUAAUUUUAUUGUUCCUUAUGUGGGAUAGAUGGGGUUGGAAGAAUUGUUGGACUGCUAAUCGAUCAGAGGAAGGCCCCAUCAAAGUGGAUGUCUAACCUGUUACUAGAGCUCUUUAAUUUGAUGAUGUAAACUCAGGUUGUCUGAGAGGGAUUUCCCCUUAGUGUUUGUUUGUUUCGUAUCAAAAAAAAGAGUGAAUGUCUAACGCGGACCAAACAAAAGUGGAGGUGUCAUCAUGCAUCUGGGAAUCAUACACCUGCUAAAUUUAUGCUUCGAAUUUCCAGUAUUUUUCCGUGUCUCAACAAUUGUAAAGUUCAUUCGUAUCAAAAAAACAAUUUGUAAAGUUCAUUCUUCAUAGAGUUGUGAGCAGCAUAUUGUAUCAUGAGGAAUUGAUGGGCUCGGAUGCAUAAUGAUUUACGUUUGCAGGAGCCAGGAGAGUUUGGUAUGCCGUUGGAACUUGGAAACCAUGUAGGUAACCAGUUUUGUUGGACAAAGAGGAUGACAAACUCUUAUUUGAAAUGGAAAGCUUUGGUAAACUAUUCAAACCAUGAGAUAUCAAUGUAGCACAAGACUCAUUUAUAUAUCCGACUUUGCCGUGUGUAGUUUGUAUAUAGAUUAUAUCCUUGCUAUGAGGAAAAAAAAAUAUAUAUCCGGCGUAAUUGGGAUAGAAAACGAUCCCCGCGCGGGAAUACCAGCUAGUACAUGGACUAAUCCUUAUAUGAACAAUUUCUAUUCGGAAAUCUAUUACAUGUAAAGCUUCAGACAUGGCAUAAUUCUAGUAACCGAAGAAGUGGCGUCUUAUAUUUAUCUGAAGCUCGUCAGGCAAAUUUUCCAAAAUACGUUCUUCAUUUACAUCCGUGGCAGAAUAUUGUUCGGCAUUUCUCACUUGCCUUCUAAACUCUUCAGGCAAGUUUCUGUACCUCAUCCACGCCUCAACAUCACGCCUCCUCAUCAACAUAUCAGACCUCCUAAAAAACCAAAAGAAUGAGAAAGGCUGAGAUGUAUAUAGAUUCUUACUAUCAGUAACCUCUUUCUCUAACAAAAAAAACUCUAGAAGAAAGAAAGUGGUAAUAAAGUCACGAUCAAACAAUAAAAAUGUGGUCAGCAUAUAGAUUCUUACUUUCAGUAACCCCUUUCUCUCAAUUAAAAAAAAAACUCUAGAAGAAAGAGAAUGGUAAUAAAGUCAAGAUCAAACAAUAAGAGUUAAGAAACAGAUUGGACAAAAAAAAAUAAAAAUAAAAAUUAAGUACCUUUGUCCAAGAGACUGGAGAAAAUUUUGCAUGUUUCCGAUCAGAAGAGCAAGGAGGAAGAGUCCCAGUCCAAUAAUUACCAUCGUAAAGAUAAUUUCACCAUUGUUAUAGCUUGGAGUUAGAUUUCCUCCCAAAGUGCUGAUUUGCUUAAUAAAUCACAGGAGAUAAUAUGUCAGCAUAAAGGUGUAACUUAUUUAUGAAAUCAUAAUAAAAUAAAGGGAAGUUAUCAGCAAUUAGAAUGUAAGGUACCUGAAACCCCCAAAACAAUGAGUAUAGAUAUUUAGUAAUGAUAUGUCCCGUAGUGAUAUUGAUAAUUGGCGCAUAGAUUCCAUAUGAGAAGUCUCCAUUGGGACUAAAACAAAGAGCAGCCUUCUCAUUUAGUCUCCGUUUAGUAAUUAACUCAUCCAGGGAAAGAUAACGAGCAUGCCAACAAUCUAUUAAGUUCGGGCAUGACUGCAUAUUAGAAUUGUGGCAGGCGUCUUGAAGACAUUGGUUAACCCUCUGGAACAAGAAAAAAAAUACAAAUGUUCUCAGUGGCAUAGCCAGAAACUAUCACUAGAAGGGUCAAAAUUUAAACAAUAAUACUAUUGCCUGUUAAAAAAAAUUAAAAAAUUAAAAAACUAUUGAAUGACAUAAAAAUGUAUGAAUUAUUACAUCAAUAAUUAAAAAGGACAAAAAGUAGGUUUUCCUAAAGCAAUUAUAAUUGUUCACGACAAUUACUCAUAUUUUGAAAUAUUUUCAUGAUGGUUUCACCGUCAAAUAUAUCUUUCUCAAUAUAUGUAAUCAUGAACAUGUCUCCCAUUCGGUUUCGCAAAUCACUUAUAUAACCGUCAUGGCAAAAAAUGCUCUUUCUACAGUGACAAUUGCAACUGGAAGAAUCAGUGUCAAUGUUAUGAGCAAGUAAACUAACGGAUCAACCUGGUUUUUCUGUUUCAACAAUUUUUUCUCGAAGCUCACUAAUUUCUUUCAUUUUUUUCCAAAGUACAUUCAUUGGAUCUAUCUCUAUUCUGAAGUACAGCGACAAUUGCAACUGGAAGAAUCAGUGUCAAUGUUAUGAGCAAGUAAACUAACGGAUAAACUUGGUUUUUCUGUUUCAACCAUUUUUUCUCGAAGCUCACUAAUUUCGGUCAUUUUUUUCCGAAGUACCUUCAUUGGAUCUAUUUCUUAUUUGAAUAGCUUGAGAUGCUGUCAACUGAUCCGUUGCUUUCUUUACAAUAUUUUUGAGAAAAUUUUCAUAAUUUCAAAUNNNNNNNNNNNNNNNNNNNNUUCAUAAUUUCAAAUAUUAAUUCUAAAGGUUUUGACUUGUUGUUUGUAGGGAGAAAUGUUUAAAGAACAAAAAAAGGAAUUACAGUUGAGAAGAAUUUAAAGAGCAUGAUAAGAGACAAAUAAAUUGUAGAAGCUUGAAUUUAUAUAGACGCAAGGUAAAUCAUGAAUCGAUUAGGAAGACAAAAAUGAAUAAUAAAUCUGUCCAAAUAUGAGAUGAAAGCAAACUUCUUUCCGAAAACUAUUUUCUUACUCCUAUAUUGAUUAGUAAAAAACAUGGGGUUAGAACUUAAAAGCUUUUCUGUCGACAAGGGUGGAGUAGUCUUGUCCAAACCAAGACAAGAUUUGGAAGGAGAUUACAAAUAUUUAAGACAAGUCUUGUCCAUAAGGGUCAAAUCUUGUUUCAAAGUGUAAUAUAUAUAUAUGUUGCCCCAACCAAUAGAAAGUUAGCUUAAAAUGUUAGAGGGUUCAAUUGAACCCUCUCGCCCCAUUGUGCCUACGCCCCUGAAUGUUCUAUUAAUUUGUUUUGACUUUAUCAUAAUUAAUUGCAUCAUAAAUUUCUUGUGAUUAUUGACUUUGGUAUAUAUUUAUAUAUUAUACUCAUUAGGUUUUUUUUUUUUUGAUCAAAUGCUCAUUAGGUAUUUAGUAAAAAUUCUGAUAUUUCUUUAAAAUAAAAAUAAAAAUUCCAAUAAAUAUGAAACAAAUAAAAAGAUAUACAAUUUAAAGACGACGUAAACCUUGUUAGUUGACUCAUAUUUAAAUUAUGGCAAUUUGUGUAAUUCUUUUGAAAAAAAAAAAAAAGAAAUCUAAUAUUUGAUCCUAGUUGGCAAUAAUUGGGUGUAAUUUAAAACAAUUUUAUGAGUGAGUUUAAUAUAAAAUGUGAUUUGAAUAUUAAGUGUAAAAUGAAAUGCCUCAUCAAACAAAUACGGGGAAAUAUGCAUCAUUAGGUUAGAUAAAAUGAAAUCUCCACACACCUGUAAGCCAAAGAGGUACCACCAUGACCCAAUGACAUGGGCAACCAGCAAAAAACUGAGUGUGUUUACAAUGAAAUUCGUCCAAAUUGACCCGAAUACAAAGAAUCCAUUCAAUGAUCGACCAGCAAGAAGGGACAAAACCCUAUACACCCUAGGAAAGUAUUGAAGAAAUAUUGCCAGGUGUAGAAGAUUCUUGGUCUCAUUUGUUCGUAGAGAAAAUCUUCCGUGCAACAGCCGCACCAGCUGACAUGUGCGACCAGCCGACCAACAAGUGCCUUGAUUUUUUCCACGCCAGCAAACUACGAAAAAGGCUCCAAGUUUAAAGUUGAAAUUUCAUUAUCCCGCCGGAAGCCAGAGUUAUAUUUAAAUUAGGAUUUCUAGGUGGUUAUUCUAAUCCAGGGAAGAACAAACGCCUCACUUUUCAGAUUACGGUCUCCUCAUUCCUCCCACUCACUUUUCUCCCACCGAUACUGAUAAUUCAUCAUCUCAUUUCCUACCGUUUCCAAAUUCAUGAACACAGAUCUUUCUAGACCCGAUUCAUGAACAUAGAUCAUGCUCGACCCGAUUCACGAACAGAGAUCUUUCUCAACCCGUUUAGUUCAUUCUCAUCGGUCAGGUAUUAUCUUUCUAUGCUGAAAUUAUGUGGCACCUCUUAUCUUCAAUCUUUUAUUCUUUGUGAGUGUAUCGUGUGGAUGGGAUGGACUGGAGAGAUAGAUAAUAGUUGAAAAGAAGACCAUGGGGAUGAGUUGGUUUUAGUCUCCAAAUUGAGGUUUAGGAGGUGGGUCAUUUUCUUGGAAUUCCAAUUUUUUGAGGUUUGGGAGGUGGUUUUUUUUGGGUUUCAAUCUGGACAUCUUACAUGCUUUGCCAUGGAAAUAGUACAUGCUUUGUUGUAUAUAGGAAUGAAUGAUGUGAACCCACCUGGAUUACUAGUCUGAUAGUCUCCGUUUGCAUAGACUUUUCUUAAUUCAAUUUUAGAUGCACACAGUUCUUUUUCCUGGAGCUUGCUUUCAGGUACUUGGAUAUUUCACACUUUCUCUAUGUUGGUCUUUUCCCUUUCAUGUAUUUUUCAGUUUGUUAGUUAUAGGAAGUGAUCAAGCACAUUCUUUGUCAUGGCUAUUUGGGAGGUUAACAGUGUCUCACUGUCUCUAUUCUCUAAAUUAGUUAAAGAUGCUUUUUGUUCAGAGCUUUUUAUUGUGUCUUUAAUUAGACAAAGAUAGUUUCUUUAUAGCAGUAGUGAACAAGGGUUUAAAGUAGAUGAUUUUCUUUUGAGUUUAUUGUUUUGUGCGUGUGUUGCAGUGUUAGAUAUUAGUAGAUAAGCUAAAGGUGAUGACGGAUCAGCCAAAAGCCAAGAGGUACAAAAAUCUCUGCUCACGGUUUACAACUAAUAAUACUCCAUCAAGUGAUAGUGACGAUGAGAUUGAGAUAGGGAGUGGGAGUAGAAAUGUGACUGUGGAUUGGCAUUGUUGACAGUUUUGGUACUCUAUGUGCGUGCAUACAAGGAAUGAAAGCAUUUCGAAGAGAUUGCCGAAGCUACAGAAUUCAAGAGAAUCACUUUAUAUUGUAUCAAUCUAUUAGCUCCGAUCGAUUAGUACUUUAUUAUGAUACAUUGUGGUGUAAUUUUGACACAAGUAAUUUUUCAUUGUGUUAAAUUUAGUUGUUACAAUUAUAAUCAAUCAAAACCUUCAUUUGACAUCUCUUUUUCAUUGUCUUCCAUUUUGUUUCAGUAGAAUGUACCUUGAGUAACAUUAUCAUAUCUUGAUCAGAGGCUUGGUUUCAUCUCUGGAUUUUGUUGCAUUAUUACCUUUUGGUUUGUGUCAAAGAUUAAAGAUAUGGUUAAAAAUUGAGAAAGAAAAAAGCUGAUGGAAAGAUACUUGAAUUUGUGAUGCUUAAACUACUAAGAUAUACUCAAUGAUCGAAUGUAAUCAUCAUAAAAAAAUAUUGUAGCACAGGUUACAUACAAAAGUUCGAUCAAAACAAGCUCUAAACAUGUCUUCGAUUCAGUUCUUAUAAAAUGCUCAUGUUAGUACUACAUCAUGAAACUUGCACACAUGACUUCAGUUCUCAUAAAAUGGUCCUCUUAAUACUGCAUCAAUGAAACCUGCACAAUUUAACUUCUGUAACUAUACUGUAAUUCAGGUUCAAUAUCAUCAACUCAAGCAUAUAAUAUUAAAAUACAGAACUAACCUCACUGAGGUUGUUGUCUAAGUGUAGGAUCAAUAGUCAAAGUCGCAGUUGGUGCAAGAUUCAACCCUGUAGUAUUCUACAAAUAUAGAACUAGUUUAUUUUCAAUAUAGCCAACUAAAAUGUAUGAAUGUACUAAGAUUUCAAAUAUACAUAUACCUGGUUUGAGAAAGGCAUCUGACCAUAACUAACAUGUGAAUGAGGAUGCUCAAAAGGCCAACUUAAAUUUCCCUGAAAGAGAAUGACAUGUAUGAAUAUGUUCAGUCUGUAAUACAUAAAGAAACAUACAUAUAAAGCUUCAAAAUGCAGACCUGAUUACUGAAUGUUGGGGUGUUGGGUACUCCAAACUGAUUACUCACUGUUGGGAUGUUAGGUACUCCAUACUGAUUACAGAAUGUUGGGAUGUUAGGUACUACAAACCGAUGAUUAUUGAAUGUAGACACAUCAGUUGGAGCUUUUGGAUCAUUAUUUUCUUGGUUUUCUUGUUCUGCAUCAGUAAAAAUUUCAGCUAUACAAAGUACACAAAACAAGAACUAUCAAUAUAAGCUUAUUUAAGAACUAUAUAAAAUAUGUAUGUACCUUUUGUUCUCUUCUUCCUUUGAUUUGUCUCCAUCACAUCUUUGAUUCUACUAUUUUUCAUUCCCUUAGUCUUUGCAUUUGGUGGGUUCAAAACUAGUGUCUCAUUACUAGAAAUGGUAGAGCCAGACUCAGCACCAAAAUUCUUCAGAUUUUCCAACACGUAAAGGGUGUCCUUGUCUUUUUCAAGACGCUUCAUUGCCUCUGUUAACAAAUGCUUGACAAUUUUAGUACCUAAACUAGUUAAUGAGGCUAUGUCAUACACAUUAUUUCCUUCAUGCAUCAAUUCGCUGAGGCGCAACACUCUAGCAGUCUUUAAAUUCUCACUUGUUCCUACACUUGUGUCACUGCUGACCACUACCGUACCCCUUUCUUUGCCUCUUUAGUCCACCUCUUCAAUAUAUACUGAGUUGGUAAAGUUGUGAUAUUAUUUGUAUCAAACACCUUCAAAGCAUGACGACACAAGAUCCCAACAGACUUAAAUGACUUACAAGAACAAGAUAUGCUCAAGGAUGUAGAGUUGUAUUCAAUCUUGUGCACACUUUCACGACCAUCUUCAAUUGCUUCAUAUACAUAAACUUGAUCUUUACUGGAAACUUCUUUUAGUCUAACUCCCAUACAACUAUAGAAUUCUGUUUCAAAAAACUGAAAAAUUUUGUUAGUAUAAACCUUGGCAGCACUGCUUAACAUCUUAGUCCAUACUUUUGGACGACGUGCACCAUUUUUGCUACGGUAGUCAUCUUCUAACUCUGUUAAACGCAACUCUUCAAUCUUUUUCUUAUAGUGAUGAACAAAUUUAAUAAGCUCCAUUGUGUGUGUAGAAAUUCCUUGGAACACAUUGUUUGUACUUUCACUCCUUUGAGUAGAUCUAAUCCUUGCCGAAAAAGUGUCCAAAUUAAAUGCUGCACACCACUUCUGUCGGAGUGAAUACAACUUUGCUAGCCAAGGAUUAUUUCCGAGAUUAUAUCUACCAAUCAAGUUAUCCCAUAAAACCUGAAAUUCAAUUUCAGAACAGCACCCAUGUAAACAAUGGUUGAAUUGCUUCUUGAACUCUGGAUUUCCAAGAUAACUACCAAUUUUCUUUCGGCAUUCUUGCCAAUAUGCCAAGUGCACAAUCAAUGGGAUGCACCUGGAAACACUAUUUUAACUGCCUUUGCCAUUGCUUUAUCUUCAUUUGUGAAAAUAGUUUUUGGUGCUUUAUUUCCCAUCGACUCCAAAAAGGAUUCGAACAACCAAACAAAAGACUCUGUAGUCUCAUCUAAUAGAAAUGCACAUCCAAACACAACAUUUCUCCAAUGAUGAUUAACUCCAACUAUUGGAGCACAAAUCAGAUCAUACUUGUUUGUACGAAAUGUUGUAUCAAAGCAUAUAACAUCACCAAAACAAUCAUAAUCUGACUUUGCUCUACCAUCCCUCCAAAAGAAGUUUAUCAUUCAGCUAUAUUGGUCCAAUUGCAUUGAAUAGAAAAAGUUAGGGUCCUCACCUUGUUUGUGCUUAAAGUGAUUCAGCAAGCUUUGUGCAUCACCUGCUUCCACCAUUUCAUUCUUUUUUCUUUGCAAGUAGUUGUAGACGUCUUUCUUAGUGCACCCAACAUUUUCUGAACCACCCACUUCAUUUGCUAUGUAAAAAAAUGCUUUUGUUGCUCCUAUUCUUGCAACUUUCAUGGAAGUAAAAACUUGUCCACAAGCAUCUGUUACUUUUCGCCCAGAUCUCAAAAAUUGCCUUUCUUCAGGGUUUGCAAGCUCAUGGUUAUGAUCUGAAUUGAUAUGUGAUAUUGUCCAUAUCCCAUCUUUCACAAUAAACGAUAUCAUAGCCUUGCAACCGACUCUUGUUUCCAACUUCCUAUGUUUGGUUGGUUCAAACACAUCUUGGUCUUGUGCAAACCCUUCCUUUGAACAUACAAACUCUCGUAACCGGAUGUUAUUUGAUGCAUCUCUUCUAAUAUGUGACUUACGAACACUGAAACCCUUCCUCAAAGCAUAGGUAUUAUAUAAAUUGUAAGCCUCCUCAUCUGAGUGUACUUGAGUUCCCACUUUGAGUUCUUCAUCGUCUUCAAUUAUUUCCUCCAUUCUUUCACAAGCCAAUUUAACUCUGUAAAACACAAAAAAGUUUAAGCAAAUUUUUGGUCAAUUGCAUAGGACUUUCAAGUAUCAAUGAUCAUUAGUUAAUGAGAAAAUCUAUUAGAUUAGAAAAACCAAUCGUACAAACACCAAAUCACACAGUGAUUGAAUAAUCAAAAUCUAAAGGAUCAGUUUAAGUAUCAGUUUAUAUACAACCACUUUUAAGUAUUGGUUUAUAUACAACGUCUUCAUUACUCAUCAAUUCUUUGUGUCAAGUUCACACAGAGGAUCAUGACAAAUCCAAAACAAUCGAACCCAAAUACUCAUAAGAAAAGCAAAGAAAUACUAACCUGAAUCAAAUUGCUUAUCGAGAUGAUCUUGUAUUGAUUAAAUUGAGCAAUCAUGAGAACGAGCUAACAGGUCGAGAAAGACUGGUUUUGGUGAAUCUGAAAAUUGAUUAUCAGUAAUGAGGAGACCCUAAUCUGAAAAUUGAGUGAGAGGAACAAGAAGUCGUCCACUGUUUGUUCUUCCCCAGAUUAGAAAAACACCUAGAAAUCCUAAUUUAGCUAAAACUCGGCGGGAUAAUGAAAUUUCAACUUUAAACUUGGAGCCUUUUUCGUAGUUUGCUGGCGUGGAAAAAAAUCAAGACGUAGCACUUGUUGGUUGGCUGGUCGCACAUGCCAGCUGGUGCGGCUGUUGCACGGAAGAUUUUCUCUUGUUUGUAACGAUCGCCGAACAAUCGACAACACUAUUAUCUGAACAAGAAUUUAAACCAAAAACAAGAAUAAAUCAAAUCUAAAAACCCGUCAUAUGGGGUAUCUGUAGAAAAAAAAAAAAUUAAUGACAUACUUGUAAUAAAAACAGUUAUGACUUGUAAUCUUAGUCUAUAAAGUUGGACGCACCGACUUGUAAUUGACAUUUGUAGAAUGAUCAUAUUUAAACAAUUACACAUAAGCAUAUCAAACCAAUUCAAAGUGGACAUGAGAGAAAGAGCUUACCUGAGGAACCGGUAAUACAAUUAUUAGGUCGAUUAAAAAGUUUCCAUGGAGAUAAUUUAGAGCGAUUUUUUUUGGUUGGUCUACUAUUUCUCCUGGACCAACCAUUCUAGACCUAGGAACUUCAUAAGCCAGCCUAAACUGCCAUGCAUAAGCAAUAAAAAUUUAGAAAGGCUCAAACAGACAAGAAAAAGAAAAAAACAACAAUUUAUUUAAGAUACCAAUUGAAUAAUACAGAUUUAGAAUGACAUUUUUAAACAGAAUAUGUCAUGCACUUACUUGGAUAAGCAUGUGUAACAGAUAUAUAGUCUGUCACAGUCCGUAAAAACACCAGUAGUAUGGUUUUAUGCCAGUCCAUAAAUAUGCACUUCUGAUCCUGCAUUUUAAGAAUACAGAUACCCCUCUAUUAAAAAAAGAAUAGAACGGGAAACAAAUUUACAUACUAAAGCAAUUUUCGAACGGCUGUUAUUUUUUCUUUUUCUUUUUAAUAAGAAGAAGAAAUUUCUGCUUCAAGAAUAAUGCAGUCUCAAAAUUUAAUGCAAACAUAUUUUAAAGUGAUGACAUCAAGUGAGAGAAAAACAAAGAUAUAGAAAGAGAGAAAGAAAAAAUAGAUUGUUCCGCGCUCGCAGAGGCCGCCGGAAUGGUAGCUUCUAGCAGAGGCAACCGGAAUCAAUAGGAGGAUCGGAUACCGUUGUGGGUUUUCGGGUCAAGGAACAAGGCCGAUUAGUUUGAGUUUUUCUACACCUUGUGAUAUCUCGAUAUUUCUAUUUCAAAUAAGGAAGAUUGAGAGAGAAAAUCGAGGGUUCAAGGAGGAGAGCAGAGAGCAUAUUGGGGAAGAAGAAGAUGAGAUGAUGAGGAAGAUGGAGAUCACGCGCCGUGAAAAGAAACGUUUGUGAUCCCUCACUGGGUCAACUGAAGAACCUUCGGCCGAAUAGCUGUUUCUUCUUCAACACCCUAUUUCAAUCGAAUUUGGUCGGCGCCUUUGCAGAUUUACACUCUAACACAGUGGAUUUGAGUUUUUUUGGCACCAAAUUUUGUUAGCGCGUAUAGUACAUGCGCCGUUUAGGAAAGAAGAAGACGCAUCAGAAGAUACCGAUGCCGAAGCCUCACCCUGUGAAUGGAAGAAUCUCCGACGUGCAAGAGAGAGAAAACAAGAUAAAGAUAAAAUACCAUUUCUCUCUCUCUCGUCCCCACUCCCCCAAGUGUCCAAACCCCAACUCCCCAAGUGUCCAAAUUAAUCCCUAACUCCCCAAGUACCAACCAUAGCCAGGCCGGACCUGAGAUUUCAAGGUCUGAGAUGAGUUUUAAGAAUGGUGUCCUCUAAUGACCGGAAAGCUUCACCUUGAGCAGAGGAGUUUGAGGAGACCAGUAAUGAGGAAUAAAACUGGCAUAAUGGUUUAGAAGUUUGGGAGCAAAACCCAGUUUUUAGAGACGGAGGGGCCCACUAACUUAACAGUGAGGAGAGGAAAAAAGAAGAAGUUAAAAGAUAAACAAGUGGUUAACCCUUCUCUCCUCUUCUAAACCACAAAAAUCCAGUUUUUAUUAUCAUCGACAACCAUCACUGCUCAUCAUCAUCCCCGUUUCAAACUUCUCUCUCUCCCUUCUCUUCUCUUCUAAACCCAACCAUUUCCUCUGUUUUUCAUUUCAAAAAACCAAAACCCAAACAAUUAUAGCUUUAAGCUUUAGUUUCCAUGGCUAGCAGACUUUUCUAAUCCCUCCUGCUCAAGGCAGCUACCGGAUUUUGGUGCCCCCAGAUUUUUGGGGCCUGAGGCAGCCGCCUCGUCGGCCUCACCUCAGGUUCGGGCCCAAGGAAGAAAAUUUCGGUGAUUACGGAAAUUUUGACCCUCCAAAAUAUGGAAAUUUCGACGGAAAUUUCGGGGAAAUAUCGAUUGCAGUAAAAAAAUUGAGAAAAUUGACGGAAAUUUGAAGAAAAACAAGGAAAUUUUAAACCAAACUUUAAGAGAUGUUUGUUUUCUAUAUUAUGUACUAUAUUUGAAAUGAAAACCUUGAAUAAACAUCGAUCUAUAAGGAGUUGUAGUAAGUUAAGGUGAAAAAGUUAGUGCUGAACCGUUAAUAAUUCUUAGAAGUUUACUUUAAACAUUUUUUUUUUAUGGCUGGAAACCCAAAGGAGGCUAGGUCAUCACGCUUUAUAUACAUAUGAUAUAUUUCACAUGGAAUUACAUGAGUACUUUAAAACCACGUAGAAGACCUAUGAUGUACAAAAUUUUCAUUAUCUUUAUCGUCUCUCUGUGUAGAGCCUUCAGUAUAUUGUGAAGAAUAGUCAUUAAAUAAUACCUCACCUUUAUAGAUAUAUUAAAAAUGAAUUAAGAAGUGUAGGUAAAAAAUCUUUUUUAUGGAAGUGUAGGUAAAAAAAUUAGUUGGAGAUUAGACAUUUACCUAAUUUUUUACUUUUCAAAUUAAAAAAACCAAUAUAUAUUAUAAAGAUACUAUAAUAAACAAGUUAAAUGGUUAGUAGGGUUGGUUAAGUUGUUAAUCUUGUACCAACCCGACCCAGGCUCGACUCACCUUCGCAGCAAAAUUCAAAGUCAAACAUUUCGGCAGGAAAGUAAGUUUUGCAGUGUUCAAAGUCAGGGGAAACAAUCAUUCAAAUUUGGGCGGGAAAGUGGGAAACCAUUUCAGCUUCGACUUUUCGGUGGGAUUUCAAAGUUUCGGCGAUAUUUUCGAAAUAUCGCGAUAUAUCGGAAAAUAUCGAUUAUUUCGGACGAAAAAUUCUGAGAAUGAAAAUAUAUAUCACCGUGUGAUAAAAACGAAAUUUUCGGCGAUAUUUCGACGAAAAUUUCGAUUUUUUCUUCCUUGUUCGGGCCUGACCAUAGCACAAUCGUUGUCUGCUAUUGUUGGGUCGCCGAUAUAGUUUUCUUAUUGGAAACUAUGCACUUUAUGUUAAUGCCUAGAGAACCCUAUUCCUCCAAAAAAGAAGAAGCCGGUGUCUAACAAGAAGCUGAAGAAAGAGAGGCUGAAGCAAGGCGUCUCUGCUCCAGCAGGCGAGUAAAUAUGGAAGAAAGACCGCAACUCUGCAUGCAUGUUGAGCUCACAUAUGUUGAGAGUUUGUUCUUUCAUUUCCCUUAAUACUAGAUGGAAUUGGACUUAGUAAUUGGAACCCUGUAUUGAUCUAGCAACCAGGGAGUGAGAAUGUUGUUCCUAAGACAGUUUUUAUCUUCAAAUUUUCUUUCUUAAACAAGUAAUAAUCAGACCUCAGAACUUAGAAUGAGUUACUUUGCCAAAUAAAAUAAAAAAUAAAAAAACAUAACAGAAAGAAAGGGAAGAAAAAGAAAAAGAAUAAAAAGAAAUAUUCUGAACCAUCAAUACUUUGUCUCUGUUCCUCAUGUGCUAGAAUAAACGAAAACAUCUAACUGUUUGUGAAAGAAAAAGAAAAAAAAACAUGUAAACUAAGACUAAUGCAAAAAGAAGGAAAAUAUACCUCAUGUGAAUAUAGCAGAAAGAAAUGUAGUGGAUCUACAAAAACCGCGACCAUGCAAGAUACUACAAAAAACUUGUUUUAUCUUCAAACAACUUUGUUAUCAGGUUCACAAUCCCGAUAACAUAGGGAUGCAAAAAAAAACAUGUUCCUUUAAACAAACUCAACAAAUUCUUUUUGUAUGACAUAUUUGUCUAUCGCUAAAUAUGAAAUGAGUGAAAUGUCGAUGAGGAUGAUUGUGAAGUUGUUUGGAUUUAAAUGUAUAAUGAGGUACGGAUCGGAGAGAUGGGAGAAUGGGAAGUUCGAUAUAUGUAUUAGAUGAGUGAACUCAAUGAGGAUGAAGUUGUGAGAUUUAUGAUAUGGGAAGAUCGAUGCCUUAUAUAAAGAAGAGGACUAGAGGAGUGAUGUUGAUAUCACUGGAAUCAAUAUGUUUGGCCAUGUUUUUAAGAAAUGAUUGUUUUUAGUUAGGGACAGAAAAUUUUCAUGCCUAGUUGUGCAUGUAUUACCUAGAGACACAUUAUAUAUAUGAUGGUGUGCACGGUAAAAAGGCAUAUGAUAACGACUUCAAGGAAAGCAUUCAAAUUUUCUCAAAACUAAAGUAACACUUUAUUCUCCCAUAUUUCUAUCUUCAACUCUCUUUAAUCUUUCAUUCAAUUGGAAGAUUAACAUAAGAGAUGAACCAGUCUUGGUGGACCCAUAAUCACAUCCAAGCUUCACCGAAAUCAAAUCCUCUGUCUUCCUAAGCGAGGAUGGAUCAAGAACAUUAUAUGUAAGGGAUAAUUCAAAUUCAGCACUUUCUGGAAAGCAAUCUGAGAAAUCCCCAUGGGGCUUUUGUUGGGCUUUAUCCUAUUGUCUUUCUUCAAUCUUCAUCUAUUGUUCGUCUUUGUCUUAUACCCAUCUUCUUCCGUUCUCUGAUUCUGUGCAACUUUGAUCUUUAUCUUUGUCUUAAUCUCAUCCUGUAAUAAGUUUUUGACCCACUUUCCCUUUCGAUUUCUUUUUCUCUAUAAAUAUCUCUCUUGAGUCUCAUACACCCAAUCCCAAUUACAGUCAUUCAAUCUCGUCCUUCAUCGGCUCAUGUACAAACAAUGUUUUUUUUAGGAGCCACUCUACCCAGAACCAUCGGUGGUAUACUUUGGAAAAUAAAGUAUGUAAAUCAAUCUGCCACUUGCCCAUUGCAUCACCAAUAAUCGACACACCCAUUGAAAUCGAUUGAACCAGAUUGAAAUACUGAGAUGCAAGAGUGAAUUGAUUUUUCAGAGAAAAGAAAAUAUCAGAUCUAGAAGAAGAAGAAGAUUCGAAUGAAGUUAACAGAGCAAUUGACGUUAGUUCCUGCCAUUUGCUUGCUUGGAAAAAAAAUACAAACGUGUCAACACGAGUGGAUGGUCGUAUGAAUGACGUGGUGCGAGUGCCGCACCUAAGAGUAAGUCCACCCCAAACUCCAAAACUGUGACCCAGACCUUUAGCCAUCUCAAAUAAAGACUCAGACAAAAAAAAACCAAAUCCACCUAUAGAAAAAAAUGAUAACCCAAUCUUUAUUAGAUCAAGACCUGAGUUAGACUCAUAACCAGGCAGAAAAAUGAAGGCCCGGGCCUUCCCUCUCCAGCUCAGCCCACUUGCAUGGGUUUGCAUGACGUCAGCCAUGUUAGAAGACUUGGAGAGAUGAAAGAAGACGCGUCUUGAUGUGGGUGAAGAACACAGACCAAUUGUUGAUGAAAGAGGACGCGCGGGGAACUCAUUUUGUCGCCAUGCGGGGUUAGUGGAUGGGCCACAUGCACGUUCCAAACCUUCACACACCCAUUUAUGUGAAUCUGAUGGUAUAUAUUUAACAACCAAAUAUUUUUAUUACAGAAAUAAAUAGGAAUUAUAAGUUAUAGUUUUAUUUUUUUGGAAUUUUAAUUUCUUCAACAUCCCACAAAAAAAAAAUUGUGCAUUUUAGAUCCAAUUUUUCAUAUCCCUAGCAUUGCUAUUUAUUUAUAAAAUUUUCAUAAAUUUGUCAUAUUAAAUAAUUCCGUGGAAUAAAUAUUUUUAAUAAAUAUUAAACAGUCACUGUCACGUGGUGACCCAAAAACUAAAAUCAUGGGUGGAAACUACAGCUCAAAAUCACUGCCACGUGGCGACCUAGGUCUCGCCUAAGACCCAGACCUUCCCAACGAAGACCUAGAAGGUGGACUUGUUCUAAGAUGACACGGUGUGAGUGCCCCACGCAAGAAUUGCUCCCUGGACCGUGACCACGUGUUUUGGAUAGGGUAAUGCACUACAAAAAAUAUGCGUAAAAGCGACAGUUUUUUCCCCACAUUUUCAGUUUUCGUGGGAGUAUAGUACUGAAUAGUGUCAACGUUUGAAAUCUUUCGAACUCUCCCACGCAAGUCGCAACUUCGAAUUCGUGGAGUAUAAAACAAUAAAAAAUUGUUCUGUAUGGGUAUUUAAUUCUGACACUCUAUUUUUUUUUCCAGUUUAUAAUUCUAAAUUCAGUAAACACCACGCUUUUAACAAUUAGUGGGAAGUAAAUAAUAAAAUAUUAUGAUAGUGUGGAAUUAUGAUGUUGAAACGAUGUAAUUAUCAUGACAUUUUAGUUUCUUACCCGUUUUUAGUAAUUAAUUCAUUUGAAUGUCCCACAAAUAUGCACAAAACGUGAGAACUUAUCUGUACAAGUACAACUGUUGNNNNNNNNNNNNNNNNNNNNNNNNNNNNNNNNNNNNNNNNNNNNNNNNNNNNNNNNNNNNNNNNNNNNNNNNNNNNNNNNNNNNNNNNNNNNNNNNNNNNNNNNNNNNNNNNNNNNNNNNNNNNNNNNNNNNNNNNNNNNNNNNNNNNNNNNNNNNNNNNNNNNNNNNNNNNNNNNNNNNNNNNNNNNNNNNNNNNNNNNNNNNNNNNNNNNNNNNNNNNNNNNNNNNNNNNNNNNNNNNNNNNNNNNNNNNNNNNNNNNNNNNNNNNNNNNNNNNNNNNNNNNNNNNNNNNNNNNNNNNNAUCUAUAAACAAGAUAAACAAGAAAUGGAGUAAAAAUUUCAACAAAGAUUAAUUCCUGGUACACUUUCAUCUUUCUUAACAUCUUAUGGCAUUGAUAUUGACUGGAAUAGCUCACAAAUAAUUUGCAGAUUGCAACUCUAGUUAAAUCCAAUUUGUCAAUACUGCACUUUAAUGCAUCAGGACUCGAGCCUAGUUGUUAUAUAUACUUCUAUAGUAAAGCUAGUAUUAGUAUAUGUGAACAAAGUUCAAAUCUGUGCGUAAGAAUGAUCCUUUCUAAGUUUCUCAUCUGUAUUAUUUGAAUGUCUGCAGUUUGCGAUACCAUUUCCACCCUGUGACAGGUGGAUGCUGAAGUUUUUAGUAAUCCAGCAAUGAUUUUGAAGAUGAAAUUGACCAAUCUUCCAUGGAGACUAUAAAUCAUUCAGAAAGGGUCCCUAAAAUGUAAAAUUGUUUAGAAUUACAUAUGAAAGCUUGUAGUGCCUUUGAUUCCAUGACUGAAAUUUACAGGGUUAGCAUUUCUGGCUUACUAAAGCUUGUACUGGCUCCCACCAUAUAUGCCAAGAUGCUUAGAAGAUUUCUGCCAAUCUCUUUAUUUUGGCGUAUGUAAGGAUCAAAAACUGACAUGAUUGCAACCUAAGAGCUAUAAAAUUUGAUCAAAAUUUUCUCCAAUUCAGUCAUAUAUCAUGCUAGUCAAGUUCAUCAUGUUGUUUGGAAACAAUGUGACUUAUCAUGCGAAUUUCACGUCACUUAUCACACAGAAACGCUCUUACCAACCUCUCCGUAACCGAGUUUGGUUGAUUCUUUCAUACGUUAAACUCUCACACAGAUGAGACGUUACACAUAAAAAUUUGAAAACGUUUGAUUCCUGUUGAUACGGCUCCCCAUAAGGAAGAUUAAGGGUAAAAAAGGUUGACCGUUUUUAUCGGUACCCAAAAGUUACUCGAAAUAUGUGAUUUUUCAACCAUAGCCGUAUUUCACUAUUCCGAUCACAUCUUAUUUACGAGAUUUUUGCUUCCUUUGUACAGUUGGUUUACAAAAUUGUACACUUGCAUAUAACCUACUAAACAAGUUAUAUCACAUUAGUAGACACGUUGUGAUUUCGAUGACUAAAAUUCUCAAAAUGAAAAUUCCACAGUCUGAUAUGAUCAUUAUAGUAAACCAUGUCUAUGGUAUAAAAUUCAACUCUAUUCGGUAGCGUUCGGGGCUCGAUCGAAGCGGUCAACCAUAAUAUAUCGUCACUUAUCACACGGAAACGCUCUUACCUACCUCUCCACGACCUAAUUUGGUCAAUUCUUCCACACGUUAAACUCUCACAUAGAUGAAACGUAACCACACAUAAAAAUUUGGAGACGUUUAACUCUCGUUGAUAGGGCUCCCUAUAGGGAAGAUUAAGCGUAAAAAAGGUUAACUGCUUUUAUCGGCACCCAAACGUUAACCGAAAUAUGUGAUUUUUCAACCAUAGUAGCUAAACACUAUUUUGAUCACAUCUUAUUUCACGAGAAUUUUGAAAAUUUUACUUCCUUUAUGUAGUUGGUUUAAAAAGUUGUACACUUGCAUAUAACCUAUUAAAUAAGUUAUACUAUAUUAGUAGACACGUUGUGAUUCCGAUAACUUAAAAUCACAAAAUGAAAAUUCCACCGUCUGAUAUGAUCAUUAUAGUAAAUCAUGUCUAUGAUAUAAAAUUCAACUUGAUUCGGCAACGUUCGUGGCUCGAUCGAAGCGGUCAACCCUAAUAUAUCGUCACUUAUCACACGGAAACGCUCUUACCUACCUCUUUGUGACCUAGUUUGGUUGAUUCUUUCACACAUUAAACUCUCACAUAGAUGAGACGUAACCACAUAUGUAAAAAUUUGGAGACGUUUACCUCCCGAAAAUAGGGCUCCUUAUAGGGAAGAUUAAACGUAAAAAAUGUUACUGUUUUUAUCGGCACCCAAACGUUACCCGAAAUACGUGAUUUUUCAACCAUAGCUAUAUUUCACUAUUUUGAUCACAUCUUAUUUCACGAGAUUUUUGAAAAUUUUGCUUCUUUUGUGUAGUUGGUUUACAAAGUUGUACACUUGUAUAUAACCUAUUAAAUAAGUUAUACUAUAUUAGUAGACACGUUGUAAUUCCAAUGACUAAAAAUCAUAAAAUGAAAAUUCCACCGUCUGAUAUGAUCAUUAUAGUAAAACAUGUUUAUGAUAUAAAAUUCAACUUGAUUCAGCAACGUUCGGGGCUCGAUCGAAGCAGUCAACCCUAUUAUAUCGUCACUUAUCACACGAAAACACUCUUACCUACCUCUUUGUGACCUAGUUUGGUCGAUUACUCCACACGUUAAACUCUCACAUAGAUGAGACGUAACCACACAUAAAAAUUUGGAGACGUUUACCUCCCGAAGAUAGGGCUCCCAUAGGGAAGCAUAAACGUAAAAAGAGUUGACCGCUUAUAUUGGACUCGGACUUUACCCGAAAUACGUGAUUUUUCAACCAUUGCCGUAUUUGACCAUUCCGAUCACAUCCUAUUUCACGUGAUUUUUGAAAAUUUUGCUUGCACUGUAGAGUUGGUUUAUAAAGUUGUACACUUGUAUAUAACCUACCAAACAAGUUAUACCACAUUAGUAGGCACGUUGUAAUUCCGAUGACUAAAAAUUACAAAAUGAAAAUUCCACCGUCUGAUAUGAUCAUUAUAGUAAAACAUGUCUAUGAUAUAAAAUUCAACUCGAUUCGCAAUGUUCAGGGCUCGAUCGAAGCGGUCAAUAUCUUAUGACACUACUAGCAGCCUGAUCUUUAUUAGCAUUUUUCAUGGCCACGUUUUUCAUGGCCGAGCUCAUCUCACCCCUGUACUGUUCGUAAAGUUUCCUCCAGUUGUUCAAGCAGUGUUUGGGGACUUGAUUAAUGUCAAAAAUAGGAAGUUUCUUGAUUUCUGAACAAGGAUACAGAGGAAAAUCAGUAUGUUAAAAGUUGAAAUAAAUCAUUUUUUAUCUAAAGUUAUAAUUUGAUGGAAAUUUCAUAACUUUGAAAUACUAAAAGGAUUUGACAUGGGAACAUCACAGAAAGCUAUCAUAACCUUUGACAGAAAUUGGUUCAUGAUCAACAUUAAACAUUAUCUACCAUCAAAUUUUAAAAGAUUUUGGUUGAUUUAUAACAAUCCAUAGAUUCUGCUAAUUCUAUGGAUUGUUUUAAUUCCAUAUGGAGUUUAACAAAUUUUAAUAGAUUGAUUUAUUAGUAUUCUUUUAGACUUUUAUAAGUCCACAGAUUGUUGUAACGGCAAUAAAUAAAAAAAAGUUUCUUAAAACACAAACAAUACAGUAAAAACGAUGAUGACUUGAAACAUAAUGCUCUGAUACAAUAGUAUAUAGGUUACUAGUAUCACAUCAUACAGAGAACUGUAUCAAAUCCAAUCUCUCUGUUUGUGAUCAACUCCCCUAUAAUUGAAUAUUCAAGGAACAAUUUUCCCAACAUAAGCACUCAGAAAAAUAGAUUUUCAUCACCAUCUAAAAGCUAUCUAGCAUUAUUAACCAGAUGCAGACCCAUAAUUCUUCCCACACACAAUUAGCUGCAACUCGUCACAACCAGAAAUUAAAGAAUACCAACACCAGCAAUGGCAUGGAGGACGUUUGCAUCAACACCCUUGAACAAGGACUUAGCACCCACAUUCUUCAAGAUCUGAGUGAAGGCUUCAAAACUCUUGUACUCGACAGCUUCACCAGAGGUCAUUAUCUACGAACAGUGUCAAUUGGGUAGGAAGAUAGACCAGCACCAUUUCUGAUGACCUAGGAGAAGUACUACAAGUCAAAAACAAAAGGAUGAUUAUCAAAAACAAAAUGAUGUCAGCUGGAAUACCUACAAGCCAUAAGAAUCUAGUCGUGGACAAAUAAAGUAAAUAUAAAUACAGCUUCCGCCAACACACUGAAGUUGCAUAUCCUUGGAAUCAAACCACCAAUAUAGGAUAAAUAGAAUUUGCAAGCACAUAAAAGUACAAAGAAUACCAAUCAAAUUACUACAGGCCUUAUGAUAUAAGUGUCACUACAACGCUUAAUAAGAGUUCAAAAAUGAAUGAUCCACUGAUCCAUGAGUGACCACACUAACACUUGAGUAAUACAGGACCUCAAUACUUUCCUACUAAAAUAACCAUUUUAAACAGUAGUAUAAGGGUAUUCAGAAUUUCAGAUAUGAUACAUGAGUAGCAUAUAUUAAGAUCGCAAAUUGAAGAAAACAUAUAUAUCUCUCGUAGUUAGAAGAGAUGGGACAACAGUUGGAUAAUGACAUAACUAAUCUUUGGUUUUCAAAGUUUAUCUGCCCAUCCAUUCAAAACAAACGAAUCAUUAUUAGCCGCUAAACAAAUCACAGAGUCAUUCCUUUUACCCUCAAAGUUAUCAAUGUUGUUCUUGUAACUAGGCACGUGUUGCUACAAACAAUUCCCCUUAUACACACCCUGACCUACAGACAUAUAUACCAAUAUCCAACACUCAAACAAUUCCCCUUAUACACCCUGACCUACAGGUUUGUCUUUCUCAAGUUCAGACUAUCUUAGCAUACUGGAAAUCAUAUGCCAUCAUUCUGAGAGAAAUUUGUACAGCCUCCUCAAUCUCAAGCUAACUAGCUCUUAUAAUCAAUGCACUCAGUUAUGCGCCCUACGUACUUCUCUCUCUUUUUCCUCUACAAAACUUGAUGCUUUGGCCGUCAACCAUGAAACUGUUUCCAGGAAAGAUAAUGUACUGCAAUCAUCUACUUGUUCGUGCAAACCAUUGAGUUCAGACUUCAGAUACACCAUGUGUAAUGUGGAUUUUUGUGAUAGAGAUAUUUCCCUAAAUUAUUUAUUCUAUUAGUCAAAACCUUGUUAAAAACAUAAACUAGCAGCUUUUAAUGUCUUCCUGUAGACAUCAACCUUAGGUUUCAAAUUCUAGCUUGAUUCGAUUAGUUACACAAUCAACCUAAGCAAGUGUUCGACAUAAUGAUUCUGAAACAAAUGCGACGUACAAUACCAGCACGAACCCCAACAAGAAAUAUGAGAUUAAGAUUCAAAUACGAACAGAAAAGAGAAACAAAGAGCAUGAUUGAUACCUUUCGAGUGAAAUAUGGAUCAUUGGCGAGAACGAUGGUCUCGAAACUGAGUCGUUUGAAUCGUUCGCAGCGGUUGAUUCCUUCGUUUUCAACGGAGGCACCGCCGCCGCUGUAGAUCUUUGACUCGGAAGAACAUCACUCAGAGCCUCAUCGAGCUUUCGACUUGAAGAACAACCUACCGAGGAGAGAACCCAGUGAGCUCUCCUCAGACUCCAUCAAAAUCUCGUGGGAGAGGCCAGAUUUCUUAAUGGAAUUUGUAUUUAUACCUAGCCCUCUAAAAUCCAUCAAAAUCUAACAACUGAUGGAAUCCUUGAGAAUCUAUAGAGUUUUGAAUACCCUCGUAUUUUGAUGGAUAUUUUAAAAUCUGAAUCGAAUACAUCAAGAUUUAUAAGGAGUUUUUAAAAUUUGAUUGAAUACCCAUAGAUUUUCAGAAUCCAAAAAAAUCCAACAGACUCCCAAUUGAAUACACCCCCCUAUGUAGUUCAAGUCUCACCUUGGAACCUCUCACAGAAUUGUCUAUAAGCAUCAGAAGGAGCAGACAGGAUUUCAUCGGGAGAAGGGGAGGAACAAAGUGAUUGUCCAUUGCACAAUGUCGCCGGCAAUGGAUUGGAAGUCUCACCUGCACCACACAAACACACAAAACUCACUAAUUUGCUUAAAUUUCAUCAUAAAUUUCGGCUAAUCACUAAAAGCAUCAACUAGAUUAUAAGUCUAACCCUGAGACUGAAAACUUAAAUAAAAUGGUGCAUCAGUAACUACGACCUUUACCAUCAGACUUGCUUUGACAAGAAUAAGUGUGUGCCACUUUCACUGGAGAAUAAGGUGAUUGUGUAUUGUUGUUGUUUCUGGGUUGCUCUAGAACAGUAAAUGCCUCACCUGCACCAAAAGCUUUAUUAUAGUCAUAUAACAGCAUUGACCACCAACAAAAUGAAUCAACUUGAGAGAGUGAAAGUAGUGACAAACCUUGAAACCCAUCAUCAAGUUGGCCAGGACCAGACAGUCUUUGAGAAGAAGUGCGUGCAAGUUUCAUCGGAGAACCCGAUGAAUAAGGUGAUUGACCUCUAACAGGUGGCAGGUGAUUAAAUGCCUCACCUGCACCGAAAAUCUAGUCAUAUAACAGUGAUGACAACAAGUCCAGUAGUCCACAACCAAAUGAAUCAACUUGAGAAAGCAAAAUAUGACAAACCUUGUGACUUCUCAUGAACUUGUGCAUGAGUAGACAAUCUUUGAUAAGAACAACUCCCUGUUGCUUUCGAUGGAGAACCAUAGCAGUAAGGUAACCUGUCACUAACUGCCUCACCUGCACCAAAAUCCUUAACACUAUCACACACAAAACACUCAUAUGACCACAAUGCAAUGCAUCAAAAUAGAGAACGCAAGAAGCACAACAAACCUCGAGACCUCUCAUCAACUUGUACAUGAGCAAUAAAGCUUCCAUCACAGCUUCCGGGUUGCUCCACAACACCAUACACCUCACCUGCACCAAAACCCACAGAUCCAGUUUCCCUCACUAUAUCAAACCCACAGUAAAGAACACUGGAGACCAUCAUAUAUACCCCAACCCUGAACAUGAAGUGAUGAAAACUAUACCGAACCGGGAUCGAUCCAUGAACAUAAAUCAAUCAGAACUAACAAACCCUAAACAUUGGUAAGGCUGACGAGAUUAAUAAAUGGUAAACGGCGUGUUGUGUAAGCUUCGGCAAUGUAGACUGUAGAGUGGAGUUAAUUGAUUGAUAGGUUCAUAACUCUGAAGCAUGCAACGCCAUUUGUUUUUGGUCUUUUCCUAUCAAAAAUCCUACACUUCUAGUCCAAUUAUUCUUUAAUCCUGCACAUAAUCUGAUGCUAAUUUACCAAAACUAAAGAUCCUGAGCUCAAAUCAAGAACAAAAUCAACACUAGAACUCGACUCGACCCGAGAAUCGAAAUGGUACCUUGCUGAUUGGUCCCUGAAGGAGAGAGUGACGCUCUCCGAAGCUUCUCCGCUGGGCUUGUUCACCUAGAUCCACGAGACUUCAUCGGAAACCUCGGCAUCCGGAUCUGCGGCGCCGCCGAUCUUCGUGACCAGCCGGACCUUUCGCGAUGUGCUGGAGCGGCGUUUAGGGGUUUUGGUGAGGUCGGGGUUGCCGGAAGCCAUGUGAAAAAUUAGGUCUGGGAGAAAUUAGGGUUUCAAAUUCGAGAUCUGAAAGCUUCGAAAUUGAGAGAGAUGAGAGCAAAGGCCAGUUGGGAAUUGAAAUUGGGGGAAAUUGAAAUUUAGAGAGAACUAAAGCGGGGAGUGGGCGGAAGCAAAGAUGAAUAGGAUAGUCACCCACGCACGACGCGCCUCGCUAGGCGUGCUUACAAUUGACAGUUAAAACGAGUUAAUUACCUUUUCAUUUCCGUCAGAAAACAAACGCGGAGCACAGACGCUCCGGAGCAUUCCAGACGUCUCCUCUCCUUCUAUCUUCUCCUCCCUUCUUUCUUUGUCUGUAACUCAUCAAAGCUUCAUUGUUCAUUCUUCCUUCAUAAACGUUUUUAGCUGAAAAACGUAUCUGUGGUGAACUCGAAAACGAAUCUCUCUUAGCCGGUGUACAGAAAUAAAGAAGUCUUUCACACUACCAGAAAUGUGGGCAACAAACACCAUCAUAAUGAUGUGCAUUGAACCAAUGGAAACUAAUCAGUGGUGUGGAUUCAUGAUAGCCACGGCCCUAGCCACUAUUAUGAGAUUAGUUUGCAUUGCUGGCGUGGCUUUUCCUAACAAUACACUAUCAUCUUUUUGGUGACUACAUAUAUACUCACUAAUUCAAUCUUUGGUGACUUCAUUGAAUUAAUAAAUAAAAAAAUAUUCAGCUAUAAAACUCUAUGGGUCCUACAUAUUCAGCAAAAGCAUCUUCAAAACCAGCUUCUUUAAAUUCAAAACCGCGAUCUCUAUCUCGUCUCUAGUAUCUCCUGCAAAGCAACAACAUGGGCAAAGAUUACUUGGCUAUAAAUCACCCCUCAUAAUUUUAUUUCCUUCAUAUAACAGAUGAUAUGUAUCUUGUGGAAAUAAAAUCAAUGUAUCCAGUGGAAAUAAAAUUAACUUGAAGCUCAUAAACUAUCAACAUGUUCAUAACCCGUGACUUUGUAAAAAUAUAAACUUAAAGCUCAUAAACUAUCAACAUGUUCAUAACCCCUGACUUCAUACCUAUAUCAACUUGAUGAACAAGUUCAUAUAAAAGCUCCCUACAUGUUAUGUAUCACAUACCUUAGUUCUUAAUACAAGAUAAUCCUCUCCUCUCUCUUUUUCCAUCACUAAAAUGCAAGUAUAGUGUACAAAGUCCACAUCUUUUCCUGCAAGCAGAAAAACACACUUUGGGUAAGUUGGCCAGAAAACAUACAAUAAAUUUCUUUUGGGUAAGAACCUUAGAAGAAACAAUUAUCAUUCACAUUUAUUAUAGUAAAACCUGGUUCAAGUUCAUAAAUUAAGCAUCUAUCGGCAUAGUUGACACAUAGAAGGUAAAAUCUGAAGCUAGAAAUGAGGUUAUAGUGAACAAUAAUGUAUUAUGAAUUAAGUUCCCAAGGAAUGGUAGUAUCAUAUAUAGUAAUGGUAGUAUCAGCCCACUUUUAUGGAUGAUGCAUAUUCAAUUACUGAUUCACAUUUACAAAAGAAUAUAAGCGUACCUUAUUGAGUGAACGACAUUUUUUUGUCUCCUCAUUCAUACGGUCUUGCAGCUUUCUGUUUCAGAAUGAACACCCUACAAAAAAAACUGCAUAUGACCAGUCAGUUAAGAAUCUUAAGAAGUUCAAAUAGAUUGAUAUGAAUCAAGGACAAUUGUAUACAAAUUAAGAACUGAUAAGGAGGGAAGAUAAAUAUGUAGGUGAAGUUUACCUCCUUCAACACCAGGGCAUCUAACUAUUCUUUUGUCAUGGUAAGACUUGACUAUAGGAGGCGCUUCCUAUAACACAGACAACAUACUAGCCUCAAUACACAAUAAUGGAAGCCCUAAACAUUAUUUGUACAUGUUCUAAACCAUGUAAACAUGCUUCAACUUUACCAGUUGAAAUUGACACAUAAGAGGUGCACAAUACGCAUAUUUUUUUGUCUAUUCAUUCGAUAGAAAGCAAUUAACCAUGUAACCACAAAAUUCAUAUGGUAAGAUCGAGGAGUCUGACAACUAUUAUCUCUUUUUUCAUUCAUUCACUCGAAGAUCAAAAUAUAAAUAAAAAACACCUUCCCCUCGAUAGUUAUUAGAAAUCUGCAAUUAGGAAUCAAAAGACUCUUGUUUAAGGUCUAAAAGUAUGAAUGUAAAAGCCCACUUCUACGACAACAAAUGCCAAAGUCAUCUCAUAUAAUUUAUGAAUAAUGAAGCAAGAACAUGAAACAAAAAAAUUAAAUCUUCAGAGUACCUUAGUACCAAAAGGAUUAAUUGGAUUAUUAAUCUCAAGAAUUUCCUCCCCUAAAAAUUAAGUCUUCGGAGUACCUUAGUACCAAAAGCAGAUAUAAACUAACAAUAAUAUGAAGUUUGACUAUCAUAUUCAUCUCAUCACCCAAAAACAGUGAUGUAAGCUACUUAAUAUAACAGACCAUAAAAGCUGGAAGAAGCUAGUUAUGCAGUAAUUCUCUAUUUGGUGUAAAGAAUAUAAAACUCCAAAGAAACUGCAUUUGAUUGAAGAGUUCAUAAAAUUGAUUUCCCAUCAAGAAUAUACAGUCACAUUUAAGAUUGAUACAAAAGACAUAUCUACAAGUUAAAUGUGCAGACAUACUGACAAUUAAACAUUAGUGUCUACAUGAACUCCUUUUUUUCUUAUUGAUACAUGAACUCCUUUUAUACCACAUCAAACUAAUAAUAAUCAAGUUAUUAGUAGAGUCCUUACUUAAACCUCAUGAACAUUACAAAGUAUUGAAAGCGAAUAAACAUCUCAGAGAACAGAACUCACCAGGUAAACAACUUCUAUUAAAUAAUUCUCGACAUUGUCAUUUCUGAAACAACAGUAUCAAGAAUAAGCACCCAAAUUAACUAUUAUAUAGUCAGCAGUUAUAAAAUUUCAUCAAAAAAGAAUUUUCAUCAGUUAAAUUAUAUCACCUUCCACAGUUCCACCUUUCAUUAUCCUAAAGAUCAUGAAAAUGUCCAUUCCUUUUCUGUUCUUUUGACCAGUGUGAUAAGCUUCAUUCCAACCCUAAAAAAUUAACCCCAAAGUUCAAGUUUUGCGGUGGAGAAAGAAUGCAUGCAAGAGCCUCUAAAACCAAAAUAAAGAAUUAUGAUGCACAAGAAAAGAAAAGCACAACAUACCAAAGCAAUUAAAUAUAACAACUUCAUUACAAAUGUAAAAACGAAGCAGAUAGGGAGAUACACUGACUUGUUCCUCUUUCCAUUCAUCGGGUCGGAGCACCAGUUAAUCUUUCACAGCCCAUGGUGAUCUGCAAAAUUUUCAAUCGAUCAAUCUUCAUACUAUGCUGAAAGAUGAUAUCGGAAACCAAUCAAUGAAGCGAGAUUGGGAUUUAAGAUUUUCAUUACUUGCAGCGCCGACGAAGACACGGAGUUGGAUUAGAUCGGCGUAUGGCCGAAACAGACAGAGUAAUUUAGAGGCUUGUCGAGCUGCGGUAGCUGAGAGAGAGAGAGAGAGAGAGAGAGAGAGAGAGAGAGAGAGAGAGAGAGAGAGAGNNNNNNNNNNNNNNNNNNNNGGAGAGGAACUUCGUUAUGCACCAUAAGAAAAAAGAGAUAAACUCAUAAAAGUAUAAUUUUAUAACUUUAAACAAUAUUGGUGACGGUCAAACAGUUGUGGUUUUUGCUAAUAGUGACACCGUUAUAAGGAUUGGGGAGAAAUCCUAUGGGUUAUGUCACCAUUAGACUAAUAGUGCAUAGAAAAUAGUAUCUGAUGCCCACAUUUGUGGUAGUGUCAUCUGCAGUCAUAGUCUCAAGAAUGACAAAUCGUCAUCAUCUGAAGUAUUGAGGCAUGUCAGAGAUUUCCAAUCUUCCUUCAAAAGGUUAGAUUUUUCCUUCCAUGACCCAUGUAAUAUCAGGAUUUAAGUGGGUAUAACAUGACUGAGAAAUUUGAAAAUAGGAAUUUAUUGGUUAUGAUUUCUUCAUGAUUUUCUGCUAACAUAAAUUCUCAAUUUUUUUUUCAUAUAUUAUUUCUUAGGAAAUUGAAUUCUGGUGAAGUUAAUCAAUGUGUUUGCAUAUAGGCGUCAACAGAUCGAGCUUGGCUGAGUAGUUGCCUCCUCCACAUGUAUAUGUGUUGGCUUUAAACUCAGUCUUCUACUAUAUGUGAUGUUUUGUUUCGUUAAGUGUUUAUUUUGUGAUCUUGUUUCGUCAAGUGCUGAUGUUUCUUAAUAUCUUUUAUUAAACAGCGACAAGCGUGGCUCGUGGAUCACAUUGUACCGAUACUGUCCCAACUUAACCACCUUUAAGGUGUUGGGUUUUAAUCACAAAAGGCCUCGGUACAAUUGGAUAAGAUCCAUCCACAUAUAAGUUAUAUUUUAUUUGUCACUUUUCUGAUGUGGGAUUUAUUCCUCUCUAAUACUUCUAAUACGCCCCCUCACGUGCAACCUGACUUAAGGUCCGCACGUGGAAUGAAUCGGGACGGAACGAACCAAGGGACACUUAGUGACAAUCCAAUCGGAAUAUUCCGAUGGUGAGACAAGAAGCCGGAACCGGGCGAGAAAAUAGAAUCCCGGACCGGACGAGAGAAUGAACCCAAAUCGGGCCCAUGAGAAUUGGAGAAGUAAUUGGAGAGGGACCCGCUCUGAUACCAUGUUAAACAGCGACAAGCGUGGCCUAUGGAUCACAUUGUACCGAUACUGUCCCAACUUAACCACCUUUAAGGUGUUGGGUUUUAAUCACAAAAGGCCUCGGUACAAUUGGAUAAGAUCCAUCCACAUAUAAGUUAUAUUUUAUUUGUCACUUUUCUGAUGUGGGAUCUAUUCUUCUCUAAUACUUCUAAUAUUUUUGUCUACUUUUCAGGUAUGUGUUCUUGCAAAAUUUAUUAGCCUUAGCUGAAGUUGUUGUUGAGCUUGACUUACAGAAUGAGGUUGGGGAAAUACAAAGAUUAGCCUUUUCGACUUUGCAAAGGAUGGAUCAGGCCAUCAGGGGACGAGCAUCAUUAGUUAGUUUCAACUUUCAACAAUAGUUUUUUAGAUUAGCUCCAUGUAAAUAGAUUAGCUCCAUUUCCCUCCUGGCCUCCUGGGAAAUUUUGAUUAGUUGUGCUUUGUUGUGGAUUUCCUGCAAAUCAGUUAAUGAAUAUAAUCAUUUAGAGAAACUCCGUAUUUCUAUGAAUAAUUGGACGUAUUUCUAUAAAUAAUCGGGUAUUUCUCUAAAUAAAUACAAACCAAUUUGAAUAAGAGCCGUCAGAUAUAUGGUGGGCCCAGAUAAUUCACAUUUAUAACAGCUGUUGAAUUUUACACAUUUUUUUUACAAUCCACACACCUCUAUCUCACUUUUUAUAAGAAAAUGUCUAAAAUGACUCUAUUUUAGACAACUAGAAAAAUUAAAACAUGGAUAGUUUAGACAUUUUCUUAUAAAAAGUAGGGUUUAGGUGUGUAAAUUUCACUCCCCUUAUAUUGACCCUUAAAAUGGUAAUAUAAAAUGGGUCCCAACUUUGAUAGCACCCACGAAUGUUUCGUAUACGUGAGAUUUUUAAGCUAUCGCCAUGGCAUUAGUCCGCAAAUCGUGACCAAGCCCAAUGCACACGAUUAUUCGUAGGUAAAAAGGCAACUCCCACGAAACAAAUUCCUAGCUAUACCCAGUUUUUUUUUUUUUUUUUUAGUGAUGGCUGAUUAAGUUGGAUAAGAGCUAGAUGUAUUGGUUCCACUUCCACCUCCAUGUAAACACAAAACUAUUGUAAUUUACCACACAAUAACUAAUUAGCAAAGACUAGUAGAAUACGUAUAUGUACUAAUGUACACCAAGGACUGACACCAAACUAACAAUUCAGGUGGCCCAUAUAUAACCGAGUUCGUUUUAUAAUUCGAGUUCUUACAUCUUUUUAAUAGAUUGAGCUGAUCAAGCAAAAAUUCGAAUCAAACAAAUGAAGUAAACGGAUCAAUGAACACAGGUUAUUCAAUAUGCAUGAUUGUGAUGUUACUGAAAUUAAUGGACAAUCAAUUUCAGUAUAAAGCUUAAGGUUAGCUGAGCAUGUCGUCUUAAUUAACUGCAGUACGUAUAGAUGAUCUGUUCUCAUUCAGUGUGCUGAUGUUCAUCUUCAGAAUGGAAAUCUGAAGUUGUGAAGAUGUAGUUUUUGAGAGCCCCGAGAAUGAUCCAUGCACAAUAGCACGAAAGACGAAAACUGAAGUGGAAGUAGAAUUUUUCUGUAAACUUUGUACCUACAAAAUUAAGUUUAAUAAUUUUCAGAUUCUUAUGCAGAGGUUUGGGUACGCAUGAAUCAAGAGAUCAGUGAAAGCAUAUUCUCAUCAUAAUUAACAUCAUACUUUCUGCAAUUUGUUCUCAAAUUGGAUUACCUAUAUAUAAAUUCUAGGCCAUAUAGAAAAUUAGAAAUAUAAGGUUGUUCAGCUUCCAUUCCGUGGAUGGAAAAUUCUAGUAUACCAUAUGGUAUAACAUACCUCACAAAAUAUGUGGCUAUCAUUGAUUGAAAAAACAACUAAAUGACCAUGUAAUGACUAUUUACCCCUUCAAAAGCCCACAUAGGCAUGUCAUACCAUAUGGUAUGAUAAACAAACCCUCCGUGGAUAUAUUUGUUAAAGAUCCUUGAAUCAUUUCCCCCAAAAAAGAAAAAGAAAAAAAAAGGAGAUCCUUGAAUCAGAGGUUAUAUAGGCUUUGAUGAAUGUCGUAUAUUGCUCGUCAUUUUCUUGAUGCAUCUAAUUAAGUACGUAGUUGGAGAAAACAAGAUGCCAGUGAAUCUAAUACCAAGAUUUCUUGCAGGGCUGCUUAAUAUCAAGUUAUCAACUAUUGUGAGUUACUAAAAUGAUUGAGUUCGUAUGUGGGUGAAGAUUUCACAUGGAAAUUUUGAUACAGAGAUAUGUAAUUAUGCAAACAGAUCCGUUCAUAUAUUCCUUUCCAUCGACAAACAAGUUACAUCAACACAGGCACACUUGAAAGAAAUCCCAUUUACAACAGUUGCGCACACAUGAUUAAAUCGAUCACUUCACUCCAAAACUUUCAAACCUCACUUUCCGGGAACAAAGUUUGUGGCAUAUGACCAAGCGUUGUUGUUAACAGGGUCAGCCAAGUGAUCAGCUAGGUUCUCAAUCGGUCCCUUUCCGGUAACAAUAGCUUGCACGAAGAAUCCGAACAUGGAAAACAUAGCCAGUCUUCCGUUCUUGAGCUCCUUCACCUUAAGCUCAGCAAAAGCCUCAGGAUCGUCUGCAAGCCCUAAAGGGUCAAAGCUCCCACCGGGGUACAACGGGUCUACUACCUCACCGAGAGGACCUCCUGCAAUUCUGUAGCCUUCAACAGCACCCAUCAAGAUCACUUGUGUUGCCCAGAUUGCCAAAAUGCUUUGAGCGUGGACCAAGCUAGGGUUUCCCAAGUAGUCUAGUCCACCCUCACUGAAGAUUUGAGCUCCAGCCUUGAACCAAACAGCUUCGCCGAACUUGACUCCAUUACGAGCCAAGAGUUCAGGGAAAACACAGCCAAGGGCACCUAGCAUGGCCCAUCUGGAAUGGAUGACUUCGAGCUCACGGUUCUUGGCAAAGGUCUCAGGAUCAGCUGAGAGCCCAGCUGUGUCCCAGCCGUAGUCACCGGGAAACUCUCCGGUGAGGUAAGACGGGGCUUCGCCGGAGAAUGGUCCCAAGUACUUGACACGGUCAGGACCGUACCACGGGCUGACGGAUGACACAUUCUUUGACUUGGCUGCGGUUUUGCGCAUGGUAACUCGGCCCUCACCGAGGAGGUUAGAUGUGGAGGAACCAAGCUUCACAGCUUGGCCAGCUAGAGAAGGGGAGGAGAGAGCCAUUGUUGAAGAAGCCAUUUGAGGAAAGUGUUGAGAGUUCUCAGCUUAGACAAUGUGGGGUGGUGAGGGCCGAGGGUUUGUGUUUUGAGUAGAGCCGUUGGUGGCUAUUUGUAUAGGGUUUUGUGUGGGGGUUCUUUAUCUUUUUGAUAUCUUCAUCUCUAUUCUUAUUGGGUGAUAGUGAAGUUUGAAGAUUUUUCCCUUCAACGGAUCUCUGCAUUUCCAGUUGGCCUCGUAUGCUCCACUACUAAGUUCAGUUAGUUCCAAAAAUAGAAAGACAUGCAGAGACAAAAAUGGAAAUCUGUUGUGGAUGUACUCUAUCGAAAAUAAAAUCUGUUGUGGAUACUCUGUGCUUUGAUUUCCAGCUAAUAGACGGUGACCACGUCAGCUUUGGAUCAGGGUAAUGGCUGAUUAAGAUUCUUGGAUAAGAGCUAGAUGUAUUAGUUCCACCUCCAUGUAAUGUACGUAUAUGUACACAAAGAAGUUAAUUAACUAGCAAAGAAUAGUAGAAUACGUAUAUGUACAUAAAGGACUAAUACCAAACUAACAUGCAACUCAGGUGAUCCCAUAUUAAUUAUAACGAGUUCGUUUUAUAAUUCGAGUCGUUACAUCUGUUUGAAAGACUAAGUUUAUCAUGUAAUAAUUUGAAUCAAACAAAUGAAGUAAACGGAUCAAUGAACACUGGUUAUUAAUGCAUGAUUGUGAUGUAUAUAUGUUACUGAAAUGGACAAGCAGUGUUUCUGUAUAAGCUUAAGUUUUCGCCAGAUCAAUUGAAGGAGGCCGAGCAUGUCGCCUAAAUUAACUGCAGUACAUAGACGAUCUGUUCCCAUUCAGUGUGAUGAUGUUCAUCUUCAGAAUGGAAAUCUGAAGUUGUGAAGCAAAAUGUAGUUUAUGAGAGCCCCAAGAAUGAUCCAAUGCACGAUGGCCUCCUGAAAGUCGAAAACUGAAGUAGAAGUAGAAAUUUUCUGUUAACUUUAUACCUACAAGUUUAAUAAUUUCAUGGACGCAUGAAUCAAGAGAUCAGUGAAAGAACAUUGUCAUCAUACUUUCUGCAAGCUAUCCUCAAAUUGGAUUACCUAUACAUGAAUUCAAGGCAUCAGCCAAAAGCCCAAAAGUAGUAUUGCAUAUAGGUUGUCCAGCUUCCAUGUUUGUCAUAAGGAUCCUCAAAUCAGCAUUAGUGGCUUUGAUUGAAUUUCAUAUAUCGCUUGUCAAUUUGUUGAUGCAUCUAAUUAAGUCGGAGAAAUUAUACAAGAUGUGUCAGAUAUUUCCAUGAUUUCUGGCAAUGCUGCUUAGAGCUGAUUCAUUAACUUGUGAGUUAAUAAAAGAUGAUUGAGCUUGUAUAGUUGUAUAUAUGGGUGAAGAUUUUACAUAAAAUUUUUAGUACAGAGCAAUUUAAGCAAACAGAUCUGUUGAUAUAUUCCUUUCCAUCGACAAACAAGUUACAUCAACAGAAACACACUUGAAAGAAAUCCCAUUUACAACAGUUGCAAACACAGAUGAUUCGAUCGAUCACUUCUCUCCCAAGCUUUCAAACCUCACUUUCCGGGAACAAAGUUGGUGGCAUAGGACCAAGCGUUGUUGUUAACAGGGUCAGCCAAGUGGUCAGCUAGGUUCUCAAUCGGUCCCUUUCCGGUAACAAUAGCUUGUACGAAGAAUCCGAACAUGGAAAACAUGGCCAGUCUUCCGUUCUUGAGCUCCUUCACCUUAAGCUCAGCAAAAGCCUCAGGAUCGUCUGCAAGCCCCAAGGGGUCAAAGCUCCCACCGGGGUACAACGGGUCUACUACCUCACCGAGAGGCCCUCCGGCAAUUCUGUAGCCUUCAACUGCACCCAUCAAGAUCACUUGUGUUGCCCAGAUUGCCAAAAUGCUCUGAGCAUGAACUAAGCUUGGGUUUCCCAAGUAGUCUAGUCCACCCUCACUGAAGAUCUGAGCUCCUGCCUUGAACCAAACAGCUUCUCCGAACUUGACUCCAUUACGAGCUAGGAGUUCAGGGAAGACACAUCCUAGAGCACCGAGCAUGGCCCAUCUUGAAUGGAUGACCUCGAGCUCACGGUUCUUAGCAAAGGUCUCGGGAUCAGCUGAGAGCCCAGCUGUGUCCCAGCCAUAGUCACCGGGAAACUCUCCGGUGAGGUAAGAUGGAGCCUCCCCGGAGAAUGGCCCCAAGUACUUGACACGGUCUGGGCCAUACCAAGGGCUGCCAGACGACACAGCCUUGGACUUGGCUCCAGUUUUGCGCAUGGUGAUUCUGCCCUCACCGAAGAUGUUAGAUGCAGCUGGGCUAAGCUGCACAGCUUGGCCAGCUAGAGAAGGAGAAGACAGAGCCAUUGUUGAAGCAGCCAUUUGAGAAAAAUGAAUCUAGUCUGGUUAGACUUGGAUAAGGGGAUGUGAUGGCCGUUUGUUUUGUGAUGGUAAGAGACCUUGGUGGGCAUAUUUAUAGCUCUGGUGAUAGGGAUUAUGCAUUAUCUGUGUGAUAUCUUUAUCUCUAACUCUCAUUGGUGAAAAUGAAGUUCAAAGAUUUCCAAUAUAUCUUCCUGUGAUUCUUUCCAGUUGGCUUCAUAUGUUCCACAAGUUUAGUUCAGAAUAUCUGAGAGACAAUGAAGAGAUUAUCUCAUUGUUUUCAUUUAUCUUAGAGUUUAGAUACUUUCAGCUGUGGCCGUAGUAUUUCCAAGUAAUGACUUAUUCAUUUCCAGUUGGCUUCAAAUUUUAUGUGGUGUUGAGAGCAUAGUCAACAUAUGCUUUAAUCUCAGUCCAAGAGAUUUUUGGUAGGCAAUUGGUAAGUACAGCCUUCCGAGACUAAUGACACCAAAAGAUUAUAGGAUAGAGGGAAAAUAUUU